UGCGCAGAAAUUGGUAGUACAUAAUUUAGCACAUGUGUACAGCUCAUGGGAAACUAUUUUUAAACUUUAUUAUUAUACACUGUAAAAAGUGCUACACCCACAAAGUAGGUUUUAAAUACUUUAAAUAGUUUUAAUCUAGUUUAUUUUAUUUGUUUUAUACUAAAACGUAUUAAUAUACUUCCUCUUUACUUAAAAUAUAUCAGUUUUUAUAUAACAAUAUAUUUUAAGUAAAGCUAUUGCAAUUUAUUUGGGUAGUUAUUUGUAUAUGGUUGUUGUGUACAAGAAAUGUUAUAAAAGUGAGUUGACAUACACAAUUUAUUAGAGCAGUUGUCGGUGUGACAGGUUUGUUCAUCAAACGUAAAUAUUUUAAAAUUUUUAGUAGUUGGCAUUAUCCAUUUUUCACUGGCGGGGACUUGCCCAGGCAGAUGCCGCAUCUUCGACACUUCAACUGUUUGAACGCUGCAGCGGAUCUUUUCAGGGACUGAUUAACACGAUACCCAAGCACUUUUGUUACCUGAGGGUCUUCAAGCUUCAUAUUCAGAGUCAUGAUGAAAGCGAGGUGCAGGCUGAGCUUGGCAGUUGCCCACUGAAAAUUUACAUGUGCCAUCAUCCCGACACAAUUGGAAUUAUCAUAGAAGGAAAGCCCGUGGUCAGAGGUGUGCCAAACCUGUCGAAAGCAUGCUGCCUCUUGUUUGGACUUACAUAUGCCCUCGACCUCAAGUA